UACGUAGGGUGCAAGCGUUAAUCGGAAUUACUGGGCGUAAAGCGUGCGCAGGCGGUGAUGUAAGACAGAUGUGAAAUCCCCGGGCUCAACCUGGGAACUGCAUUUGUGACUGCAUGGCUGGAGUGCGGCAGAGGGGGAUGGAAUUCCGCGUGUAGCAGUGAAAUGUGUAGAUAUGCGGAGGAACACCGAUGGCGAAGGCAAUCCCCUGGGCCUGCACUGACGCUCAUGCACGAAAGCGUGGGGAGCAAACAGG
rnacentral:rRNA from 1 species